GAAUCAAACUCAGGGUCUCAUGUUUGCGAGGCAGGUGCUGUGUUGCUGAGCUACAUCCCUGACCGCCAGACACAGUUUCUCAUUCAUCAAAAGCAUCUUUCAAUCCUGCAAGCUUCAUACAUGGUGUGUCUCAGAAUAUUUGUCUGAAAAAUCUCACCUUUUGUUCCUCAUGAUGUGAACUUUGAGUGGUAUUUCUCUGCAAUGCCGUAAGUAUUUUCCCUCUGCACCAUACUCCUCUGCCAUGUCAUCCUGCCUUGGAGCCAGCUGACUAUGGUAUGAAACCUCUACAAACUGUGAGUCAAAAUACACCUUUCCUACUUCAGGGUGUGAGUGCUGAGAAUUGUGUCUCAGUGGUGAGAAAAUGGUUUAUAAAGUGUAGUGUAUUCCUUCAAGACAUAAAGAAUCACAGCACUUGAAAAUCUAUCUGUGGUCCCUUCUUCAGGACUCUUGGAUACAAAAACCCUGAUCUCACUUUUUCCAGGUCCCUCAUUAAUUCUCCAAGACACUCUGUUUCUUGACCUCAGGUCAGUUUUUUUUUUUUAAUGGCAAGAGACUAAACAAGUAUAUGCCUGCCAUUGUGUUGAUCCCCUCAUCACAGCCCUUUAAUAUCACUCCUGUGUGUUGUGUGCUUCAAAAUUACAUGUUGACAUUGUAGUUUUUUUGACCUUUGAAUGUGACUUUAGUUUGGUGACUAUUCUUUACAAGGGAAAAGAGGUGGAGACUUGGACAUAGAGACACAUACAGGGAAAAUAUUGUGCAACAGUUGGGGCAAAGAUUGGAGAGAAGCAUCUAUAAGAUAACCAAUGUGAAGGAUUUUUGACAACCACCAGAGGCUAGGAUGAAGCAAAGAAAUCUUCUUGUCUAGGAACAACAGGGACCACAGCCCUAUUGAUAACUUGAUUUUAAAAGUCUAGCUUACAGAGCUCUGAGAGAAUUAUUUUAUAUUGUGUUUUAAGUCACCCAGCCAGUGAUACCUUCUCAUAAGAGUCCUAGGAAACUAAUAAACUUUUUAUUGUUCUAUCUUGCAGUGGUUUUAUGUUUUCAGCAUUAACUUAUCAAGACAGUCCAUCCGUAAACCAAACUUCUUUCAACCAUGAGACCAAACUCAUGAGCCGAGGAAGAGUCAUCAGUACAAAGUCUGACGCAUCUUCUUAUGUAAAUUAUUCACCCUCUUGAUCUGUUCAGGUCCAUUCUAGGAAGUCUCAUUUCCACUGCAUAGUAUAUUUUGCCUCUGUCCACCUGACCUUAUGUCUGACGUUAUGAUUUGGCAAACUGACAAUGUCAUAGUCACUGACAAGUUCACAGUCACUUGACAAUACCUGGAUGAUAGGCAUAGUCACCAGCUAAUGUCUGGUGCUGUGUAAUCAGAGCCAAAUAUCCUCAGAUUGUAGACUGGCUUUUACAUAUCAGUAUCUAUUUUUCACACAAAAGUUAGUUCUCUGCUAUUGAAGACAUAAUUUUACCACAGAACACUCUCAUCUGUUUGUAAACUCUCCAAAUGUAGCUUUCCAGUGACCUUAUACAGGUUAUCUAUCUAAUAGAAUCCGUUAGCCUCAUUGUAUCUGUUGAGUCACAUAAUCAAGUUCAGAGCCUCUUGCACAAGAGCUUGUACAUAUUUCUAAAUUCUUCUUACAGAUCCAUAUGCAAAAACUUACUCAGGGGUAAGAUAUUUAUACUUUAAAAUUAGGAAUUCACUUUCUAUAGCCACAUGCCCCUCAAUAAUAUUGGAUUUAUGAAAAGGUUCACUUAUUGGUCAAACUAGAUGUUCAUGGUCAAAGUUUCUUUCUGUUUUUUGUUUUCUAUUUUCCAAAACUCUGCAGGCAUGUAAGUUUAAACAAGUCAAGUAUUUCCCGGCAGAUUUUUCCAUCUUUAGUGAUUGGAUGCUUUAUGAUUGGUGUCACAUAAUUUUCCUGCAUGAGAAAAGACAUUAUUUUGUCUCAUGUAGUCUUCUAACUCUGGAGUCCACUGGUAGCUUUUCUUAAACUCAUUGGAAUAUAAGGUAUGUAGGGUUAUUCAUAAAGUGGUAGUUUGAUUCACUCUCUGGAAAUAUUUCUAUUGAGUAAAUCUCCAUCUAGAGAAAGAUAGUUAUGUAUCUUUGUAUAUACAAAUCCAUGAAAUUUUGCUAUAAAUAUGACCCUUAUCUUUAUUU